AUUGAACGCUGGCGGCAGGCCUAACACAUGCAAGUCGGGCGAGUGGCGGACGGGUGAGUAAUGUCUGGGGAUCUGCCUGAUUGCGGGGGAUAACUUCUGGAAACGGUAGCUAAUACCGCAUACCAUCAUAUGAACCCCUAUGGGAUUAGCUAGUAGGUGAGAUAACGGCUCACCUAGGCGACGGUCCCUAGCUGGUCUGAGAGGAUGAUCAGCCACACGGGGACUGAGAAACUGCCCAGACUCCGACGGGAGGCAGCAGUGGGGAAUAUGGCACAAUGGGCGCAAGCCUUAUGCAGCCAUGCCGCGUGUAUGAAGAAGGCCUUCGGGUUGUAAAGUACUUUCAGUCGGGAGGCGUUACCGACAGAAGAAGCACCGGCUAACGCCGUGCCAGCAGCCGCGGUAAUUC
rnacentral:rRNA from 1 species